rnacentral:rRNA from 1 species
AUUGAACGCUGGCGGCAGGCCUAACACAUGCAAGUCGAGCGGGGGUAGCAAUACCCUAGCGGCGAACGGGUGAGUAAUAUAUCGGAACAUGUCCGGAAGUGGGGGAUAACGUAGCGAAAGUUACGCUAAUACCGCAUAUGCCCUGAGGGGGAAAGGAGGGGAUCGUAAGACCUUUCGCUUUCGGAGUGGCCGAUAUCAGAUUAGCUAGUUGGUGAGGUAAAGGCUCACCAAGGCGACGAUCUGUAGCGGGUCUGAGAGGAUGAUCCGCCACACUGGGACUGAGACACGGCCCAGACUCCUACGGGAGGCAGCAGUGGGGAAUUUUGGACAAUGGGGGCAACCCUGAUCCAGCCAUGCCGCGUGAGUGAAGAAGGCCUUCGGGUUGUAAAGCACUUUAAGCGGGGAGGAAGGUUCGGAACCUAAUACGUUCCGGAAUUGACGUUACCCGCAGAAUAAGCACCGGCUAACUCUGUGCCAGCCGCCGCGGUAAUAC